UUUCAAAUAGCAUCGCCGGAGGCAACGCUUCGCCGUGCCGUAGGUAGAGGAGCGAUCCUAAUCACACAAACAAACCUAAAAAAGCAACCGUCCCCUCGCCCUGGUUCUGAAUCCUCUCCUAAUUUUCAUCAAUUUCCACUCCUUAAUCUAGAUCGAACAAAACUAGAUUACGAACCCUAGGAGCAUAAAUCCAAAUUAAAUGAAGAUUUCCAGGAAUCAGAGCCUGAUAGGAGAGUGUUUUGAUUCCUGAGGUGAGCCUCUACAUAUCUGUAAGUGAAAUGAUGCGUAAUGAGGAAGAAUCAAAUGCCUACCUCGUCGGAGAAGAUGUUGAAGAUGGAAGCGAUGAUGGUCUUGAUUAAGGUAUUCCCUUAAUCCUUUGUUCCUUCUUCUUCUGAGCCUUGCGCUUUUUCUUCUCACUUCUACCCCAUUUCUUUAGUCUGUAGGAACAGGAAGAUGAUUGUGGUGCUUGUUUGUGGUAAGUGGCGUUCUGAGGUCGGCGUAGAGUGAGGUAAUGGAGGUAGAAGCUCAAUUGAUUAGAGCUUCUGAUGCCGAAGCUCUAACAGUUACGGUGGUUUAGAGCUUAUGGUGAGGGAUUGAGAUGAAUUGGGGGAGUCACGUACCAAACUCAUGAAUGAGGGUGAGAUAUGAAUUUAUAGGGCUGGGAGUGGCUAACUGAAUUGGGCAGCUCGGGUAGCUCCGUUAGGGUUGUGGUUACCGUUAGUGAGAUUGAAAGGGAGUUCAGUUAGAUGUUAGAGUUCUGUUAAUUUUGGUUAGUGUUAGUUACGGACAAGCUAAGUUAAUUAUCCAGCUAGCCAAUUCUGUUAGUGUCAAUUAUUACCGUUAGUUGUUGAUCGAUAUUGUUAUGUUCAUGAAUUAAUGCUUGAUGCCCCUUUUUUGUGUUGCAUUGCAUUAGAACGGUUAAUAUGUGCUAUGUGUUAUGAUGGUGCACAAUUGAUUUAGUGGUUCUAUGAAUCAAUGAUGACAGUGCAGGUUGCUUUACUGAUGGUGGUGAGCGAGAGGCUUCAACAUGAAACAAGCCAUUUCUAUGACUGGUUCAAGGCUCAAAACCUAUGUGCAGGCUCAGGUGAUGACCUGAGGACGAGAAUUGGCGUAGCAGGGUAUGCUGCAGGGUGUUUCAGGAUUGGGAUUAAUGCUUCAAUGACACAGGGCAUCAAAAGUUUGGUACAAGGUCAUGGCAUUUUGAGUAAGUUUUGUCUUGUGCAGCAUGGCUUGUGAUUAGGGAUGGCAAACGGGCAUGCCCGUCCUGUUUAGGCCCGCCCCGCAAAACCCCGCAAAAAAACGGGGCGGGACGGGGCGGUCAUAGUUGAGGAUGUGGGUCUAAAACUUAGACCCGCCUCGCAAAAAAGUGAGGGCGGGGUGGGGAAAGCCCGCGGACACUGCACUCUUUAAGCCUAAAAAUACAAAAAUUUAUGUAAAUGCACGUGCCCGUAAAAGCCCGUGAAAAAAACGGGGCGGGGCGGACACUUUUGAGGGUGAGGGCCUAAAUCCUUGGCCCGACUCGCCAAAACUGACGGGUAAAACGGACAUGGCCCGCGGGCCGGGCCCGUUUUGCCACCCCUACUUGUGAUUAUGUUUGUUCCAGGUAUGAAUAGGGCUAGAUUACAAGUGGCUUGAACAUGAACACAUGAUGUAUGGUUUAUUUUAAAAGUUAUUAGGCCAUGUUGGUUCUGAUGUGGAAGAUGCUUGCUGCAGCUGGUGGUUGUUGCUGUUGGUUCUUAUUAAUAGUUAUUAGGUUAGUUGAUUUUCUGGUGAAGCAUGGUUAGCUGUUAGGAAUGAAUUUGAUUUCUAUUAUGACUGUUAGGUUAGAUAUUAGUAGCAGUUGGAAGUUAUUAAUUGGUAUCUAUUAGAUGCAUGGUUAUGGUAGCUGCAUAUGAAUGAAUGUGAAAAUUCUCCAUGCUAAAAUUGAUAAGAUUGUCAUGUGUCAUGUAUAUGCUGGAUGAAUGAGUGCGUAGCUGGUUGACUGCUAUGCUUGGUUGACAGUAGAAUGUUUACUGUGUUAUAAUGCAGGUGGAGUGGUUUUCUAUUUUCCUCUGUUUGGAGCAUGAUGCAUGACCUUGAAUUGGUUUGUUGUUGCAGAGCUAGACUUGAAUGGAGCAUGAAUUUAAGGUGUGAUAACUCCUGCUUGUUUUUGAUAUACUCUGUUAUAGGUUUUGAAGCAUGAUGGCAUUGCAUGAUUGUCUUGAUUGUUGUAGAUGGUAAGAUGAACUUGCUUGGUUGUCUGCAGUUUUGAAGUGGCAUUUUCUUGGUCUUCUUCUGAACCUGGCUCAAUUAAAAUGUUAAUUGAAUUGGAUUGUUGCUGCAUAAUUGUAUUUGCAUUUCCAUUGUUCUGUUUUGCAUUGCCAACUAAAAGUGUGCUUAAGUUGUUGUGAAUUUUGUUGCACUUGUCUGUUGCAGAUUUGUUGUGUUCAUGAUGUUCUUAGCCUGCUGCUUAUGUUGUAGGACUGCAAGGUUGAAUGGUCAGCUUUGCCAUGUGAAGUUGAUAUCAUGGAAUGCAUUGCCAUUGUUUGCUGCAGCUUUGGCUGCCAUGGUUAUUUUGGAAAAGUGCAUGUGUUUGUGUAUGUAUGCUACAUGUAUGUGUUAGUCAUGACAUAUGAUGAAUGUAUGGACUGAUUUGUGGACAUUCUUAACUGUUUUACAGGACUGCCACAUGUUAUGGACAUUUGAACCAAUGCUUUAAACAAACUCACCAUGACAAAAAUGCAAAAACAAGCUUUACUUGGAAAGAGGGUUAACUUGUAAGGAAAAUGAUGAAGCAAGAAGAAUGAAGGAUGACAUCAUGAAGUUUAGGAAUCUUAGAACAAAU
rnacentral:lncRNA from 1 species